rnacentral:rRNA from 1 species
AACGAACGCUGGCGGCAUGCCUAACACAUGCAAGUCGAACGAGACCUUCGGGUCUAGUGGCGCACGGGUGCGUAACGCGUGGGAACCUGCCCUUAGGUUCGGAAUAACUCCCCGAAAGGGGUGCUAAUACCGGAUAAUGUCUUCGGACCAAAGAUUUAUCGCCUUUGGAUGGGCCCGCGUUGGAUUAGCUAGUUGGUAGGGUAAAAGCCUACCAAGGCGACGAUCCAUAGCUGGUCUGAGAGGAUGAUCAGCCACACUGGGACUGAGACACGGCCCAGACUCCUACGGGAGGCAGCAGUGGGGAAUAUUGGACAAUGGGCGAAAGCCUGAUGCAGCCAUGCCGCGUGAGUGAUGAAGGCCUUAGGGUUGUAAAGCUCUUUUACCCGGGAUGAUAAUGACAGUACCGGGAGAAUAAGCUCCGGCUAACUCCGUG